AAUGGGGGAAACCUGAUGCAGCGACGCCGCGUGGAGGAAGAAGGUCUUCGGAUUGUAAACUCCUGUUGUUGAGGAAGAUAAUGACGGUACUCAACAAGGAAGUGACGGCUAACUACGUGCCAGCAGCCGCGGUAAAACGUAGGUCACAAGCGUUGUCCGGAAUUACUGGGUGUAAAGGGAGCGCAGGCGGGAAGACAAGUUGGAAGUGAAAUCCAUGGGCUCAACCCAUGAACUGCUUUCAAAACUGUUUUUCUUGAGUAGUGCAGAGGUAGGCGGAAUUCCCGGUGUAGCGGUGGAAUGCGUAGAUAUCGGGAGGAACACCAGUGGCGAAGGCGGCCUACUGGGCACCAACUGACGCUGAGGCUCGAAAGUGUGGGUAGCAAACAGGAUUAGAUACCCUGGUAGUCCACACUGUAAACGAUGAUUACUAGGUGUUGGAGGAUUGACCCCUUCAGUGCCGCAGUUAACACAAUAAGUAAUCCACCUGGGGAGUACGACCGCAAGGUUGAAACUCAAAGGAAUUGACGGGGGCCCGCACAAGCAGUGGAGUAUGUGGUUUAAUUCGACGCAACGCGAAGAACCUUACCAAGUCUUGACAUCCUGCGACGCACAUAGAAAUAUGUGUUUCCUUCGGGACGCAGAGACAGGUGGUGCAUGGUUGUCGUCAGCUCGUGUCGUGAGAUGUUGGGUUAAGUCCCGCAACGAGCGCAACCCUUAUGGUCAGUUACUACGCAAGAGGACUCUGGCCAGACUGCCGUUGACAAAACGGAGGAAGGUGGGGAUGACGUCAAAUCAUCAUGCCCUUUAUGACUUGGGCUACACACGUACUACAAUGGCGUUAAACAAAGAGAAGCAAGACCGCGAGGUGGAGCAAAACUCAGAAACAACGUCCCAGUUCGGACUGCAGGCUGCAACUCGCCUGCACGAAGUCGGAAUGCUAGUAAU
rnacentral:rRNA from 1 species